CAUCCACUUCCGGCGCACCGUGCCUUGAGCAGCUCUCUCCGCUGGCUGUGCUGUCUGUCUGCGAAUGGUCCCAGCUCCCUCCAAACGGGACCCUGGGCAGCCCUCGGCACCUUCAUGAGAUGCUGGCUCCCUGUCCGCACCUUUCCUCCGUCUUCCCAGAGGCCCCAGUGCUGCAGCCCAGCCUCCCGAGACGCCUGGUGGGAGAGUCCCGGGUCAGCCACUCACGCCGCACAUGUGUGAGCAGCUUUCCUCCACCACGCUGUUCUGCCAUGUUGUUCCUGCCGACUAACCAUGGACUGAACCCAGUGAAAUCCUGAGCCCAAAUACACCUCUCCUCCUUCAAGCCGCAAGUGUCGGGUAUUUUGUUACAGUGAUGGGAAAGUGACUAAGACAUGGUUUCAAAGUAAUUUUCUGCUAAAUUCAAUUUGCUGUGCUGGAGAAUCUUUUCCUCCACUUCCUUGAGCUUGGGUUAUGAACUGUGC
ensembl:lncRNA